AGACCCGAAACCCGGUGAUCUAGCCAUGGGCAGGUUGAAGGUUGGGUAACACUAACUGGAGGACCGAACCGACUAAUGUUGAAAAAUUAGCGGAUGACCUGUGGCUGGGGGUGAAAGGCCAAUCAAACCGGGAGAUAGCUGGUUCUCCCCGAAAGCUAUUUAGGUAGCGCCUCGUGAAUUCAUCUCCGGGGGUAGAGCACUGUUUCGGCUAGGGGGCCAUCCCGGCUUACCAACCCGAUGCAAACUGCGAAUACCGGAGAAUGUUAUCACGGGAGACACACGGCGGGUGCUAACGUCCGUCGUGAAGAGGGAAACAACCCAGACCGCCAGCUAAGGUCCCAAAGUCAUGGUUAAGUGGGAAACGAUGUGGGAAGGCCCAGACAGCCAGGAUGUUGGCUUAGAAGCAGCCAUCAUUUAAAGAAAGCGUAAUAGCUCACUGGUCGAGUCGGCCUGCGCGGAAGAUGUAACGGGGCUAAACCAUGCACCGAAGCUGCGGCAGCGAACGUAUCACCCAAGACAACUUUACGGAGUUGACGAUUGACGGAGCGAAGCGACGUCAAAGCGUUCAUUAAAGUCGAGUUGGCUUAGGGAUACGUUCGUUGGGUAGGGGAGCGUUCUGUAAGCCUGUGAAGGUGUGUCGUGAGGCAUGCUGGAGGUAUCAGAAGUGCGAAUGCUGACAUAAGUAACGAUAAAGCGGGUGAAAAGCCCGCUCGCCGGAAGACCAAGGGUUCCUGUCCAACGUUAAUCGGGGCAGGGUGAGUCGACCCCUAAGGCGAGGCCGAAAGGCGUAGUCGAUGGGAAACGGGUUAAUAUUCCCGUACUUGGUGUUACUGCGAAGGGGGGACGGAGAAGGCUAUGUUGGCCGGGCGACGGUUGUCCCGGUUUAAGCGUGUAGGUGUGUGUUCCAGGUAAAUCCGGUUCACUUUAACACUGAGGCGUGAUGACGAGGCACUACGGUGCUGAAGCAACAAAUGCCCUGCUUCCAGGAAAAGCCUCUAA
rnacentral:rRNA from 2 species